rnacentral:rRNA from 1 species
CACGUAGGGCGCAAGCGUUGUCCGGAAUUAUUGGGCGGAAAGAGCUCGUAGGUGGUUUGUUACGUCUGCUGUGAAAACCUAGGGCUUAACCCCGAGCCUGCAGUGGAUACGGGCAGACUAGAGGUAGGUAGGGGAGAAUGGAAUUCCCGGUGUAGCGGUGAAAUGCGCAGAUAUCGGGAGGAACACCGGUGGCGAAGGCGGUUCUCUGGGCCUUACCUGACGCUGAGGAGCGAAAGCGUGGGGAGCGAACAGG